rnacentral:lncRNA from 1 species
GAUAGGUGCAUUGCUCUUGUUUUCGGGUGGCUCUCUUUUUGAGCGGCGGUGUCCGGGACAAUGUAGAUUAGGUAAGUGCAUUGAUCUUGUUUUCGGACCGCUCUCUUUUUGAGCGGCGAUGUCCGGGGCAAGGUUGAUUAGAUAAGUACAAUGCUCUUGUUUUCGGGCGUCUUUCUUUUUGAGCGGCAGCGUCCGGGGCAAUGUAGAUUAGGUAAAUGCAUUACUCUUGUUUUCGGACAGCUCUCUUUUUGGGUGUCAACGUCCGGGGCCAAGGAGAUUAGGUGAGUGCACUACUCUUGUUUUCGCGCGGCUCUUUUUUUGAGCGACGGCGUCUGGUGCAAGGUAGAUUAGGUAAAUGCAUUGCUCUUGUUUUUAGACAGGUCUCUUUUUGAGUGGCGAUGUCCGGGGGAAUGUAGAUUAGGUAAGUGCACUGCUCUUGUUGCAGGUGGCUCUAGUUUUGAGCGGCGGCGGUCCGGUGCAAGGUAGAUUAGCCAGGUGCAUUACUCUUAUUUUAGAACAGCACUCUUUUUGAGCGACCGCGUCUGGGACAAGGUAAAUUAGGUGAGUGCAUUAUCGUGUCAGCAAUCGUUGUAUUGGUAAUUCUGAUUUUGUCAUGAGGCCUGGUUAACUAAUUAGCUAGCAAAAUAAGCAAUCGGCGCAUGUUUGGCAUGGACAUACUACAUGAAUCUAUUUUCGAGUGGUGGCGUUCGAGGCGAGGUAUAUUAGGUGAGAGUGUUGUUGUUUCUUUGGGCGGCAACAUCUGAGACAAGGUAGAUUAGUUGAGUGCGCAGUCAACAUACAGGUAGUUCUGAUUUUGUCAGGCUAAUUAAUUAUCUAGCAAAAUAAGUAAUCGUUCGCAUCGUCUCGCCCACAAGUACUACAUGGCUUUUUUUUUUUAGCGGUGGUGUCUGGAGCAAGUGGUCUGGAGUAAGGUUUAUUUUUUGGGCCGCGGCGUCCGGGGCAAGGUCGAUUUAGCGAGCUCAUUGCCAUGCCGGCAAUCGACGUAGUGGUGGUUCUGGUUUGGCAUGUGCUUUGAUUAACUACUUAGAUAGCAAAACUAGCGAUCGGCUAAUCUAGCAAUCUAGCAGCGAUUGACACAAGAUCCAACAUCUGGAAGCUAAGAUAACUCGGUUUCGAUGUGGCCCGGUCCAUGGCUUGGUCGAACCGACCAGCUCGACCACGGCCGACGCCAAGCUUGCACGCACAUUCUAGACAGUUCAUUUUUCGAGCCGCAUCGUCCAGGACAAGGUAUAGAAUAGGCUAAAAGCAUUACCAUGCCAGCGUCAAGAUACAUUUGUGUCUAUGAAUUUUGCAUUAGUAUACUAUAUUGUGGUUUUGCCAAAAAGCUGGGCAGUGUUUUAACCACACAGCAG